UUUCUAGGGCAAAUUUCCUCUUCUGUAAACUUGAAAGCGUCUAGGACUUUGCUGGGCCGAAACUGGUGUCGAUCGACACUAGGAGUGUGUCGAUCGACACUCCUCUUGAUUCGUGAAACCAAAGUCGUCCUUACCUUACUUUUUCUUAGCUUUUGCUCCAAAAUGUCUCCUUAUCUCCAUUGUUGUCCCACUGCAUAGAAUACCUGAAAAGACACUAAAAAGACUCGAGAAAUAACAUAAAGACUCAAGAUCCUAUACCUAAAACAUAGAUAAAAUCAGU
rnacentral:sRNA from 1 species